UACAGAGGGUGCGAGCGUUAAUCGGAGUUACUGGGCGUAAAGGGUGCGUAGGCGGCGCGGUAAGUCGGGUGUGAAAUCUCGGAGCUUAACUCCGAAACUGCAUUCGAUACUGCCGUGCUUGAGGACUGGAGAGGAGACUGGAAUUUACGGUGUAGCGGUGAAAUGCGUAGAUAUCGUAAGGAAGACCAGUGGCGAAGGCGGGUCUCUGGACAGUUCCUGACGCUGAGGCACGAAGGUCAGGGGAGCAAACGGG
rnacentral:rRNA from 1 species